UAACCUAUUAAAAACAAUUCUUUGUUUACUAAAUGAGACUUUGGUGCUUCUGUCACAUGUAUCAGCCAGCAUGGGGCUCCCCUAAAUGAGAACACCAAAUGGAGGUCAUCACAAGCGGCACAUUCUUAGAGACCUUCACAUCGUGGAGCACGGGCGUUUGCCUUCGGGGGGUUUUUCACAGAAAAGUUCUCGUCGAAAAAAACACUUAAAGGGGCCGAAAAACUUGUUGAACUUUCCGAAAAACGGCCAACAUCCACCAUGCUGUCGGGGUGAGUGCUUGUUUCAAUGUUUAAUGGCGGAUAAGUGCGGAAUUCUAUAUAAAUGGCGCAGGAACUAACAGACCGGCACGCUCUGAUUGGCUGAAUCUGCGUACUGUUUGUCAACUGUCAAAUCUUCCGCCGUGUAUUAUUCUACAACCGACAAGAUAGGCGCUAAAGAUCCGAGCCCGACGUUGCCAGUUGAUGAUUCGAUUUAAAGCAGCUUAAAGCAUUUGCUUUAAAAAAUUCAAAACAAUUUUCUUAUAAACCUCCUUAAUAAAAUGUCGAUGACUAUGA